GUGAAAUCUGAUUGGUCGUUCCAUUACAACAUCAGCGCGCGCAGCAGAGCGACGCUUCCGCCAUUUUGGACUGCAGGCGACUACCGAAUACCAAAUUUUUUAACAUAACAACAUGACAUACCAUGACAUGGCAUGAUAUGGUGAUUUCAAUUCAAUACGGCGGCAGUGCUAUCUAGUGGCAAUUGUCAAAAAAGCAUCACAGUUGCAUCUCUUUUCUUUUGUACUCUCAAAACUCAAGUUGUAGAGGUUGUGAUUUAACACUUUUUAUCAUAUUGCUAGUUUCCAGCUACCUAUCACCAGAACUAAAUGGACAUGAUUGAUAUCUCCCGUCAUUUUUCAUGAGAACCAUUACCAUUAAAAGAAAGAGAAAAUAAGAAUCCAGAGGAGUCGUCAGAUUUUGAAGAGGCUCAACACUGGUUUUCAUCUGCAGAGCUAAACAUCUCUCAAAUAGACUCCUUCAGCACCGUUGGGCUCCCUCUAAAGAACCCUGGGUGUCUCUCUCAGGCUGGAUCUCUCCUCAGCACAUUAUCCUACUGACACAAAUGUUAAAGUCUGGUGUUUCUUCAGAGUGCAGGAGCCAUGAGUGCUCAACGUUUACUGAAGGCUUGUACACGAGGUGGAAGAUGAAGCCGUUGGAAUACCUGAGAGAGACAGUAAACAAUGGAAAUAGAAAGGGUGUUACAGAAUUUGAUCAUUAAAUGUAACAGAGAAGAAGAUAAAAAGAAUGUCAACAUCAUCAUAACAGAGGAUUCAAGGAAUGAUAACUCCUAUGCUGCAGUGACAUGCAGCAGCCAGAACAUGCCCAAGCUAACAGGAACUUUUCCAGCUGAUGAGUCAGAUAGUUUAUAUCAUGGUAGACAGUUCUUCAGUGCUGCAAUCCUCCAGAUGCUAAAACAUAGUGUAACAGUAGCACAAGUAGAAAAGUGUCAUAAAGUCAGUGGACUGACUAUAGUUAUAGCAAUAUUUGUCUAAAGUUUGCUUUCUGCCAGAGACACCAGAUGUUGUGUUUGUGCUAGUUAUUACCAGAACUUGAACUGGAAUAAAAAAGGUGUGGAUACGCUAAACCUGUAGCUGAUUUAAUGGGUAGAUUAAUAGCCAUUUUCAACU